UGAGGUAGUAGGUUGUAUAGGAUUUUAGAGAGUGCCAUAGCAACUACUAUACAACCUUCUAACUUGUCA
rnacentral:pre_miRNA from 1 species